rnacentral:rRNA from 1 species
UACGUAGGGGGCAAGCGUUGUCCGGAAUGACUGGGCGUAAAGGGAACGCAGGCGGUCUUUUAAGUCUGAUGUGAAAGCCUUCGGCUUAACCGGAGUAGUGCAUUGGAAACUGGGAGACUUGAGUGCAGAAGAGGAGAAUGGGACUCCAUGUGUAGCGGUGAAAUGCGUAGAUAUAUGGAAGAACACCAGUGGCGAAAGCGGCUCUCUGGUCUGUAACUGACGCUGAGGCGCGGAAGCGUGGGGAGCAAACAGG